rnacentral:lncRNA from 1 species
UUAUAGUUUGUUUAAUUAAGGUCUUUCCUCUCCGCGAGGAAAGACCUUAUUGUUUUUCUCCUGUUUUUAAGGUCUUUCCCCUACAUGGGAAAGACCUUAUUGUUUUUCUAAUGUUUUUUUUUUCUUUUUUUUCUUCCAACAUUUUUUUGACAUGCCCGCUUCUUGUUUCUGUUGAAGUUAUAAACACCAAAUAUGGACCAUCGCUAGACCUCACCAAGAUGUAUUACCAAAUGACUCUGUUAAGGAUUUCAUCAUCCCCUUUAGGAGUUAUCUCCCUUUUAUUGAUUUUUUUCAACAUGGCCCCCCUCGUUGGUUUUAAAGAUAUCAUGACCUUAAUUGGACAAAAUGUAGAUCUUAUCAUGAUGUAUUACCAUGUGAGGCUGAAUAGGAUUUCAUCGUCCCCUAUGAGAGUUAUAUCCCCUUGAAACAAUUUCUUUCCUUUGCAUUUUUCUCAAAAAGUAUAAGAGAUAGAAUCGAUUUGAAAACGGCAACAUGUACAGGAACAGAUGGCAAUGUUAAUGAACAUGUACAAUCAUUUUGUUAUUAACCCUUAUAAGGAGUUAUUCCCCUUGAAAAAUUGUACAUAAUUUUAGAAAAAUUGUAUUUCGAGAACCAGAAGUCGUAGAGACUUGGGACCUUCACCAAUAAUCUUUAAUUCAUGUGACCUUUAAUAUGCACCCAAGGUCAAAGGUCACUGAGUGCAAAAAAAAUUACGCUGCAAUUUCAAGCUUACAUAUUAGGAAAACGAUAAGACUUUGCUGCAUACAUACAGCGUAUAAAAUGUUCCUCUCGACGAGCUCUACAUUUUAUAAUAAGCCCAAAAAUGUCCGACUGUCUGUUCAAAAGUUACAACGGGAUGAUUCUUAAAAGUAUAGUAUUUUGUGUAUAUCUUUUUAAAGGUAACAGAUAUCAACCUACUAUAAACUGCAAAGAUGAUCAGUAAUUCAAGACCUUCAAUUUGAGGUCAAUGUCAGGUCAUGAUGAAAUUUCACCUUGACCUUCACAUUAUACUAUGACCUUGACCUUGUGAUAUUUGAAAGGUCAAGUGGUCCUGAGUUGAAUGGUGAUAGUCCCAUGUCUCUACGACUUCCGGUUCUCAAGUUUUGGUAUUGCAUCAUAUAUUUGAUGAUUAAUUGUGACCUUGGUGAACUUUGAAAUUGUCCCAAUUCUUUUUCUAUAAUGUUGUCCUUCAACUGUAGAUCAUUUAUCAUUUAACAGAUUUGAGAUAUCUAUUGUCGUUUUAGAGAUAAUGCAGUUUGAAUUUUGCGAGCGGAGGCAUGUAUUUCUGAAUCAACAAGAGCUUACCACUUAAAAUGUUUUAGAAAUUGAAGAGGUUAACAUAGUUAUAUGUUUGACCAAAUACCAAAAACAUUCCAUGGAAAAAAACACCAAAAAAUCAAUUUUGAAAUUUUCAAGUUUUGCAUUGACUUUGUAAGUUUCAUAACUUCUAUUUAUAUAGUUGAUAUUGCAUCAUUAUUUGCACUUUGUCAAAUGGGGUCAUCUGAUAUAUCAAAUUGAAGGUCUCAAUAAACUCUACUUAAAAAUGAAAAUUUUAAACCCCCUUUUCAUCCCAGGGGAAGGGUGGGGUCAUUUAGUGCAAAAAUUCAAAAUUUCUCAGAUGGUAAGGUUGUCGCAUAUCAAAUGAAAGAACAUAAAGCGUACAUUUCAAAUUUCAAAUUGACGUCCCCCAAAAAUGGGUUGGAUGGGGUCAUUGAGUGCAAAAAAUAAAUUUUCUUUUACGAUAGGGUUGUUGUAUAUCAAAUGAAAGGUCAUGAUGUGUACAUUUGAAAUAUCAAAUUCCCGACCUCCAAAAAUUGGUUGGAUAGGGUUAUUAAGUGCAAAAAUCAAACUUUUUAGAACAUGGCGUUGUCGCAUAUCAAAUGAAAGCUCAUCUACCCUGUG